rnacentral:rRNA from 1 species
UACGGAGGGUGCAAGCGUUAUCCGGAUUCACUGGGUUUAAAGGGUGUGUAGGCGGAUAAUUAAGUCAGUGGUGAAAUCUCCGGGCUCAACCCGGAAACUGCCAUUGAUACUAUUUAUCUUGAAUUCUGUUGAGGUGGGCGGAAUACAUCAUGUAGCGGUGAAAUGCUUAGAUAUGAUGUAGAACACCGAUUGCGAAGGCAGCUCACUAAGCAGACAUUGACGCUGAGGCACGAAAGCGUGGGGAUCAAACAGG